GCAUCAGAUCCCUCACGUUUAAGGGCUCAGCUCCACAAGACUACCCCCUUCACAUGCCAGCAGCAAAUAUGGGGCCCAAGUUACCCACAUUUCUGCCCAGCUGACUACAAAUUCUGGUUUCCAUGACCCCCUCUCAGGUUUGAUAGUUUGCUAGAACAACUCACAAAGUGAAGGAAAAUGGUGUACUUACUAUUACUGGCUUAUUAUAAAGGCUACAACUCAGAAACAGCCAAACGGAGGAGAUGCACAGAGCAAGGUGACCAGUCCGCAUCCUGAUACUAUCUCGGAGUCCCCCAGCCAAGAAUCAUCUCAUCAGCAUAAACUCAGGCAAUGUUGAAAGGCAUUCAGAAUGGUACUGGCCAUGUAACAUCCUCAGGAAAAUGGAGAAAGGAGUCACAUCAUCUUCUGUGUUUGGAGACUGCUAUGUAAGCCAGAAUACUAGUCACACAGUGCAGAUGGGGAAACUGAAGCAUAGGGCAAUGAAGAAACUUGCUCUGAAUUGCAGAAUUUGUGAAUAGUAGAUGGGGGAUGUGAACCCAGGUGUUGCGCACAUCACCCCAACAGUCAAGGCUGUGGCCA
rnacentral:lncRNA from 1 species